rnacentral:rRNA from 1 species
CCAUGCAAGUCGAACGGGAUCCCGGACUUCGGUUUGGGUGAGAGUGGCGAACGGGUGAGUAAUGCGUGACCGACCUGCCCCAUACUCCGGAAUAGCUCCUGGAAACGGGUGGUAAUGCCGGAUGCACCGCGCCAUCGCAUGGUGGUGUGGGAAAGUUUGAUACGGUGUGGGAUGGGGUCGCGUCCUAUCAGCUUGUUGGUGGUGUAAGGGACCACCAAGGCUUUGACGGGUAGCCGGCCUGAGAGGGCGACCGGCCACAUUGGGACUGAGAUACGGCCCAGACUCCUACGGGAGGCAGCAGUGGGGAAUAUUGCACAAUGGGCGCAAGCCUGAUGCAGCGACGCCGCGUGCGGGAUGGAGGCCUUCGGGUUGUGAACCGCUUUUAUCAGGGAGCAAGGCUUUUGUUGAGUGUACCUGGUGAAUAAGCACCGGCUAACUACGUGCCAGCAGCCGCGGUAAUACGUAGGGUGCAAGCGUUAUCCGGAUUUAUUGGGCGUAAAGGGCUCGUAGGCGGUUCGUCGCGUCUGGUGUGAAAGCCCAUCGCUUAACGGUGGGUCUGCGCCGGGUACGGGCGGGCUGGAGUGCGGUAGGGGAGACUGGAAUUCCCGGUGUAACGGUGGAAUGUGUAGAUAUCGGGAGGAACACCAAUGGCGAAGGCAGGUCUCUGGGCCGUUACUGACGCUGAGGAGCGAAAGCGUGGGGAGCGAACAGGAUUAGAUACCCUGGUAGUCCACGCCGUAAACGGUGGAUGCUGGAUGUGGGGCCUUUUUCCAUGGGUCCCGUGUCGGAGCCAACGCGUUAAGCAUCCCGCCUGGGGAGUACGGCCGCAAGGCUAAAACUCAAAGAAAUUGACGGGGGCCCGCACAAGCGGCGGAGCAUGCGGAUUAAUUCGAUGCAACGCGAAGAACCUUACCUGGGCUUGACAUGUUCCCGACGAGCCGUAGAGAUGCGGCUUCCCUUCGGGGCGGGUUCACAGGUGGUGCAUGGUCGUCGUCAGCUCGUGUCGUGAGAUGUUGGGUUAAGUCCCGCAACGAGCGCAACCCUCGCCCCGUGUUGCCAGCAGUUCGGCUGGGGACUCGCGGGGGACCGCCGGGGUCAACUCGGAGGAAGGUGGGGAUGACGUCAGAUCAUCAUGCCCCUUACGUCCAGGGCUUCACGCAUGCUACAAUGGCCGGUACAACGGGAUGCGACGCCGCGAGGCGGAGCGGAUCCCUGAAAACCGGUCUCAGUUCGGAUUGGAGUCUGCAACCCGACUCCAUGAAGGCGGAGUCGCUAGUAAUCGCGAAUCAGCAACGUCGCGGGGAAUGCGUUCCCGGGCCUUGUACACACCGCCCGUCAAGUCAUGAAAGUGGGCAGCACCCGAAGCCGGUGGCCCAACCAGUGUUCUGGGGGGAGCCGUCUAAGGUGAGGCUCGUGAUUGG